GGGAAAACGAAAGUAAUCUGGACUUUAUUAAUAUUCACUAAACUAAAAGGAAAACAUUGUAGAAGCAGAAACAUAUCCAUUACCCUCCAGUAUGCCACAAAGGUGGUUUAAGCUUCCAAUAACACACAGGUCAGAGGUCACAUUCUUUUUUGUGUGUGGGGUUCAUUCCAAAAAACAAAAUGGCUGACUUAUUGACUUCCCCCUGCAGAGAAAAUCCUCUCUGCAUGCUACGGCAGGAGGAGGAUAUUCCAGAGUUAGAAAUUGACAUGGAUGAGUUGCUGGAUCUGUCAGACGCAGAACAGAGAGCAAAGCUACAUGACCUUCUUCAAGACUGUGGCAAGCCCAAAGAGGACUUCAUCGACGGCUUGCUGUAUCGGAUGAAGGGUCUUCGCAAGAUGUCCCUGAAAAAAUGAACCGAACUAGUUGGAGCGGAGACCAUGUGAAAUGAGACACCAUCCUCUCUCACCUGUAGCUGUGGAUGUGUGUACAGUGACAGUCCUCAUGUAUCUAGAUAUAUCCUUAUGUAUCCACAAUCUGCACUAUCAGUGUCUAUAUUAGUGGUUUGCAGCCCUUGUCAAAGAGGGUCCCCAUGGCCAGUCCGUCUUGGCCUUAUAUUAUUAGGACUAUUUGAUACCAUAUAUGUCUUACUCACAUAAGCCUGGUGGGUCUUCCAAUGGGGCAUCUGUGUAAAACUGAGUUUAAAUAUGACGUAAUAUAGCAUAGAGAUAUCCUACUAGAUUCAAACACCUCUUGGUAUCAGUUGCCUCUGAAGUAGAAUGAGAGAUCAUGCAGUCUAGUAUUGAUGGAUUAUCCAGUCUAUCGUUUAUGUCGAUGUUUUUCACUGUUAUGUUACAGAAUGGUUCACCAAUUCACCAUGGCCUGGUUUGUUUAGUUCUUCAGUGUUAAUGGACACUUCUGGCAUUUUGAAUAAUCAGAUCACAGCUUAUUGUUAUGUUGACAUUCUUUUUUAUUUAUUUUUUAUUUUGAAUGAAAUGUUUUCUCUGAUUAAUCCCCUGCUAUGACUAGCCCAAGAAUGUACUGUGAAUAUGGUUACUAAUGUUUGUGUUUAGCUUAAGGUAUUGUUUUAAAAGAAGCAGUGCUGUCAUUAACUUGCCCCAACUGUUACAUCGGAAUUUCAAAUGGGAUCUCUAAUAGAAAAUAUGUGUACUGUGAUGUUACUUAUGAUAUUCUGGAAAAUAUCUCACCUAAAACAAAUUCACUUCAAUCCAUAAAAGGGCAGUUAGGCAUCACAAAAUGUCGAUGAGCUGAGGAACCGCGAAAGAUCCCAAUGGGGGAUCUAAACUUUUGCUGUUUGUGCAUUUCAAUAAAUCAGUGGAAGCAUAUCAGAGUUGUGACAUUCUUCAGGGCAGAAGGUAGCAGAGCGUUAAGCCAGUAACCAAAAGGUGGCUGGUUCGAAUAUCCGAGCCGACAAGGUGAAAAAUGUGUCGAUGUGUACUUGAGCAAGGCACUUAACCUUAAAUUGAUCCAGGGGUGCUGUACUACAAUGGCUGACCCUGUAAAACAACACAUUUCACUGCACCUAUCUGUAAAACAACACAUUUCACUGCACCUAUCUGUAAUACAACACAUUUCACUGCACCUAUCUGUAAUACAACACAUUUCACUGCACCUAUCUGUAAUACAACACAUUUCACUGCACCUAUCUGUAAAACAACACAUUUCACUGCACCUAUCUGUAAAACAACACAUUUCACUGCACCUAUCUGUAAUACAACACAUUUCACUGCACCUAUCUGUAAUACAACACAUUUCACUGCACCUAUCUGUAAAACAACACAUUUCACUGCACCUAUCUGUAAAACAACACAUUUCACUGCACCUAUUUGUAAAACAACACAUUUCACUGCACCUCUCUGUAAUACAACACAUUUCACUGCACCUAUCUGUAAAACAACACAUUUCACUGCACCUAUCUGUAAAACACAUUUCACUGCACCUAUCUGUAAAACAACACAUUUCACUGCACCUAUCUGUAAAACAACACAUUUCACUGCACCUAUCCACAAAUAUUUAAUUAAACGUAAUUUAUUUCAUUUGAGGCUGGUUCAAACUACUCCCAAAUGUUCUUACCAUUGAAUUAGUUUAUGUAUUAUAUUGCAUUUUCUGA
rnacentral:lncRNA from 1 species